CCACCAAUAUCCUAAGCAAAUGAAAAUAAAUCAACUAGUCGUAUUUUUGUUUACACUAAAAUUUGAAUAUGAGAUCGAUCUAGUGGUUCAUUCACCUACCAACUUAUUAACUAUUCACUUAUGUUGUUCGAACUCUUCAAAAAUAUAAUUACACUCACAUCAAAUUCUCCGAAAUGUGCUAUUUUUUUUUAAAAUAAAAAUCCUAUACCCAUCGACGUUGAACAAUUCACUAGGACCACUUUUUUACUCUUCAUUCCAAACAAAGUUUUUUUUUUUUUUUUUUUGUGAUAAAGUAAUUUUAUGUUUCAAAGAAAAUAAUAUAUGAGACUUUCUUGGGUAUUUGGUUGCCUAGUUAAAAGUUGAAAUAGACAACUCUUACGUACAAAUCUUUGUGUGGACAAUAGUCACUAAAAGUUAAAACAAAUGUAUAAUGACAUGAAAAUACUUCUAUAUACACCUUGGUCAAACAAAAC
rnacentral:lncRNA from 1 species